CCUCCUAGUUAAUUCUUCUUUCUUUAACUUCUUUAUUAAUCUAUCUAGUUAUUUAUGUUAUCAAAUCUAGCUAAUCUCUUUUCGGUGAGUGCCCAUGUCCAGCCCACUUGCGUGUCCGUUGCAACAACUUAUCCGGUUGUGUAGCUAAAAAAUAGGAGUAGAAGACAACAAAAUAUGUCGAGCGCAGGCGAAGCUUCUCGUCGGAUCCAACAUGCACAGCUGUCCAUCUCUCCACCCCUAUCUUCUCAUCCUCAUUCCCAAUUCCUUCCUCUCUUCUCUCUGUCCACUCCAAUCUUCCACUUAAUGGUCGCCGCUGCUUCAAGGCCUCCCCGCAGAGCUCUCGAUCUAGAUCUCAGAUCGAGGCCACCACCAAGCCCCUCGACCACCUCCUCCUUCCUUCACCGGCUCAGCUCCCUCUGGCGCGCGCCGCUCCACCUGAGCUCCAGAAGCACACAACGAGCCUCGCUACUGCUGCCACCACGACCGUCAUCGCGCCGCCACCGUCAUCUCCAAGUUCUCCAGCCGGUGGCAAACAUCUCCCCUGCGACUGGUGCCACCACCCUCUGCCUCACCUCCAUCAUGCUUGAGGACAAUGACGGCAUGGCUGCCGUCGACCCGUCCCGGGCCCCUCGUCUCGCUCGUGUGGGGCGCACCUGCGCAUGGACCAUCGGUCGAGCAAGCCGCCCUCGCCAGCGGGAGCGCCGGUGCCGCUCGCCGAAAGCAUCUGAUGGGGGCCUAGACGUUGCUCCGAUGGCGACUGGGUGCCCUCUUUGCAUUCAUUUCUUAUCCCGAUCUACCAUCUGAGUCAAUUGUAAAUCGUCACCCCAGACGCUGCUAGUUGUGCUAAUCCACUCUCUCUCUCUCUCUCUCGAUCCCCACUUCCCCUCGUCUCGUCCAUGGCGCCUGCAUCUGCCGCGUCGUUGUUCUGCUGGGUAGGACUAUUAAUUGGAACAUACGAUGAAAUAGCAAACGUACAAAGCACGAGCUCCUAGCACUGGAGAAGGCCUAGCCAGGCGACCAAAAGACAAGCGAAUCGUUGAAUUGUUUUUUCUCUCACUUAUUUCUAGACUGCGCUUUUAUUUCCAUAGAAGCCAAGGUUUUUUUUUGUAAAACAUGCCUGAUGACGAACGACAAAAACCUAAUUUGAAUUAUUAUUAUA